CCCGCACAAGCGGUGGAGCAUGUGGUUUAAUUCGAUGCAACGCGAAGAACCUUACCUGGUCUUGACAUCCACGGAAGUUUUCAGAGAUGAGAAUGUGCCUUCGGGAACCGUGAGACAGGUGCUGCAUGGCUGCCGUCAGCUCGUGUUGUGAAAUGUUGGGUUAAGUCCCGCAACGAGCGCAACCCUUAUCCUUUGUUGCCAGCGGUCCGGCCGGGAACUCAAAGGAGACUGCCAGUGAUAAACUGGAGGAAGGUGGGAUGACGUCAAGUCAUCAUGGCCCUUACGACCAGGGCUACACACGUGCUACAAUGGCGCAUACAAAGAGAAGCGACCUCGCGAGAGCAAGCGGACCUCAUAAAGUGCGUCGUAGUCCGGAUUGGAGUCUGCAACUCGACUCCAUGAAGUCGGAAUCGCUAGUAAUCGUGGAUCAGAAUGCCACGGUGAAUACGUUCCCGGGCCUU
rnacentral:rRNA from 1 species